rnacentral:lncRNA from 1 species
UCUAUCUAUUACAGUUAUUUAACUCAAUACAUAUAAUUCCAUCUUUUACAUUCCUCCAAAACAUAAAUACAAGCACUCAAAUCUCACCCUAUACAUCAUCUACCCUCAAACAUAAAUACAAGGUGGAGCUAAUGCAAAAAGAUAGAUAACUAAUGCAACUAGGGCGCUAGGCCUUUACCGCGAUCCUCACGCUCGCUUAGGACACCGGAACUCGAACCUGUAAAAAG